GUGGGGAAUAUUGGACAAUGGGCGAAAGCCUGAUCCAGCCAUGCCGCGUGUGUGAAGAAGGUCUUCGGAUUGUAAAGCACUUUAAGUUGGGAGGAAGGGUAGUAACCUAAUACGUUGCUACUUUGACGUUACCGACAGAAUAAGCACCGGCUAACUUCGUGCCAGCAGCCGCGGUAAUACGAAGGGUGCAAGAGUUAAUCGGAAUUACUGGGCGUAAAGCGCGCGUAGGUGGUUUUGUAAGUUGGAGGUGAAAUCCCCGGGCUCAACCUGGGAACAGCCUCCAAAACUGCAUGACUAGAGUACGGUAGAGGGUAGUGGAAUUUCCUGUGUAGCGGUGAAAUGCGUAGAUAUAGGAAGGAACACCAGUGGCGAAGGCGACUACCUGGACUGAUACUGACACUGAGGUGCGAAAGCGUGGGGAGCAAACAGGAUUAGAUACCCCUGUAGUCC
rnacentral:rRNA from 1 species